UACGAGGGGGGCGAGCGUUGUUCGGAAUUAUUGGGCGUAAAGGGCGCGUAGGCGGUCGGAUAAGUCUUGUGUGAAAUCUCCGGGCUCAACUCGGAGUCUGCACGAGAAACUAUCUGGCUUGAGUGUGGGAGAGGUGAGUGGAAUUCCUGGUGUAGCGGUGAAAUGCGUAGAUAUCAGGAGGAACACCUGUGGCGAAAGCGGCUCACUGGACCACAACUGACGCUGAGGCGCGAAAGCUAGGGGAGCAAACAGG
rnacentral:rRNA from 1 species